GUCUCAUCGUCUUCACCUUCUGUUUUUCUAACUUCUCUGAUUCUCAUCUGUAACAGGCUCAUAAAACCCCUUAUUUAUUGCUACAAUCGAGACCAAGAAACCAUUGAGAAUCCCUCAGCUUUUCACUUAUUUAUACCCAUAUUCACAUUUUCUUCCCCACACCAAAACAUUGAAAACCAUAUAAGUGCCUUAGAAAAUCACUUUCAAAUCUGCAAAAUCUAUGGGGAAGGCUGCUGCAACGAGGUUUUUUUCCUCCAAAAUUUGUUUUAGGGUUCUUCGAUAUUGGCUUCUCUAGAAAAAAACUUCCAUUGAUUUUGCAGAUUUCUUAAACAGAGCCAUUAACUGUCUCCCUUCCUUCAAGUGUUUCAACUCUGGUGCUGUCUUGAAUGUAAUCUCUCUUCCAUUUUUCUUUUAAAGCAUUAGUAAGAAGAAAUAGAUCUUUAUUGUUGUGUGCAGGUUACACUUGAGAAGAUCCAAGGAGGCUUUGAUUUAAGAUUUUUAAGAUGAAAAUAAGGUCAUUACUUUCCAAGGAGGGCUUCAGAAGCCUACCGAGCAAUGACUUAUAUAGAGGGAUAUAACGAAGAUGAAAUGAGCUCAGAUGUUAACAUGGCAUGAAGUGUUGGUCUAGGAGGUUCAACUGAUGCCAUUGGUGAAUAAGGUGGAUGGACGGUUCGGAAGGGACUGCACACUCGCCAGUUCCUGCAACAAAGAAGGAGAAUUGCCG